CAGUAGCCACGGUAAUACGAAGGGGGCUAGCGUUGUUCGGAUUUACUGGGCGUAAAGCGCACGUAGGCGGACUUUUAAGUCAGGGGUGAAAUCCCGGGGCUCAACCCCGGAACUGCCUUUGAUACUGGAAGUCUUGAGUAUGGUAGAGGUGAGUGGAAUUCCGAGUGUAGAGGUGAAAUUCGUAGAUAUUCGGAGGAACACCAGUGGCGAAGGCGGCUCACUGGACCAUUACUGACGCUGAGGUGCGAAAGCGUGGGGAGCAAACAGGAUUAGAUACCCCGGUAGUCCCUGUCUCUUAUAC
rnacentral:rRNA from 1 species